CUGGUUGCCCGCAAAGAGAAUCUAAGUUCUCCCUUAACCUCUCUCCCAGGAUAACAAACCCAAACCCCCGUGCAGCAGAUUAAGAGCUACCUAAAGGGGGUACAGCCCCUUUAAAGAAGGAUACACCCUCCACUAGCGGAUAACCUCUCUCCACUUUUUCUCAACCUCGUGGGCCCUAAAGCAGCCACCCCAAAAGAGUGCGUCAAAGCUCCCAACUAAAAAUCCAAAAAUAUUGUGACUCCCUACAUCCCUAGCUGGCUAACCUAUAACAAUAGAUGAAUCAAUGCUAGAACGAGUAACCAGGACACCCUCCCCUCAAGCGCUAGCCUACAUACCAUUAACAGUCCAACCAUCAAUGCUUAACCUCCCCAAGAUUAAACAUUGAACAUACCCUGUUAACCCAACCCAGGAGCGCACAUUAGGAUGAUUAAAAUCUACAAAAGGAACUCGGCAAACUCAAGGCCCGACUGUUUACCAAAAACAUAGCCUUCAGCCAAACAAGUAUUGAAGGUGAUGCCUGCCCAGUGACACCAUGUUUAACGGCCGCGGUAUCCUAACCGUGCAAAGGUAGCGCAAUCAAUUGUCCCAUAAAUCGAGACUUGUAUGAACGGCUAAACGAGGCCUUAACUGUCUCCUGUAGACAAUCAGUGAAACUGAUCUUCCUGUGCAAAAGCAGGAAUAAGCACACAAGACGAGAAGACCCUGUGGAACUUUAAAAUCAAUAGCCACUACACAUCAACCCAAAGCCCACCAGGCUCCACCAUCUACAACACUGGCUAACAUUUUUAGAUUGGGGCGAUCUUGGAGAAAAACAAACCCUCCAAAAAUAAGGCCAAACCCCUUAGCAAAGAACAACCCUUCCAUGCGCUAACAGCACCCAGACCCAAUAAAAUUGACCAAUGAACCAAGCUACCCCAGGGAUAACAGCGCAAUCUCCCCCAAGAGCCCCUAUCGACGAGGAGGUUUACGACCUCGAUGUUGGAUCAGGACAUCCUAGUGGUGUAACCGCUACUAAGGGUUCGUUUGUUCAACGAUUAACAGUCCUACGU
rnacentral:rRNA from 1 species